AUUGAACGCUGGCGGCAUGCCUUACACAUGCAAGUCGAACGGUAACGCGGGGCAACCUGGCGACGAGUGGCGAACGGGUGAGUAAUAUAUCGGAACGUGCCCAGUAGUGGGGGAUAGCCCGGCGAAAGCCGGAUUAAUACCGCAUACGACCUACGGGUGAAAGCGGGGGACCGUAAGGCCUCGCGCUAUUGGAGCGGCCGAUGUCUGAUUAGCUAGUUGGCGGGGGAAUAGCCCACCAAGGCGACGAUCAGUAGCUGGUCUGAGAGGACGAUCAGCCACACUGGGACUGAGACACGGCCCAGACUCCUACGGGAGGCAGCAGUGGGGAAUUUUGGACAAUGGGGGCAACCCUGAUCCAGCAAUGCCGCGUGUGCGAAGAAGGCCUUCGGGUUGUAAAGCACUUUUGUCAGGGAAGAAAUCUUUCAGGCUAAUACCCUUGGAAGGAUGACGGUACCUGAAGAAUAAGCACCGGCUAACUACGUGCCAGCCGCCGCGGUAACAC
rnacentral:rRNA from 1 species